CCUUUUGUAUAAUGGGUCAGCGACUUAUAUUCUGUAGCAAGGUUAACCGAAUAGGGGAGCCGAAGGGAAACCGAGUCUUAACUGGGCGUUAAGUUGCAGGGUAUAGACCCGAAACCCGGUGAUCUAGCCAUGGGCAGGUUGAAGGUUGGGUAACACUAACUGGAGGACCGAACCGACUAAUGUUGAAAAAUUAGCGGAUGACUUGUGGCUGGGGGUGAAAGGCCAAUCAAACCGGGAGAUAGCUGGUUCUCCCCGAAAGCUAUUUAGGUAGCGCCUCGUGAAUUCAUCUCCGGGGGUAGAGCACUGUUUCGGCAAGGGGGUCAUCCCGACUUACCAACCCGAUGCAAACUGCGAAUACCGGAGAAUGUUAUCACGGGAGACACACGGCGGGUGCUAACGUCCGUCGUGAAGAGGGAAACAACCCAGACCGCCAGCUAAGGUCCCAAAGUCAUGGUUAAGUGGGAAACGAUGUGGGAAGGCCCAGACAGCCAGGAUGUUGGCUUAGAAGCAGCCAUCAUUUAAAGAAAGCGUAAUAGCUCACUGGUCGAGUCGGCCUGCGCGGAAGAUGUAACGGGGCUAAACCAUGCACCGAAGCUGCGGCAGCGACACUAUGUGUUGUUGGGUAGGGGAGCGUUCUGUAAGCCUGUGAAGGUGUACUGUGAGGUAUGCUGGAGGUAUCAGAAGUGCGAAUGCUGACAUAAGUAACGAUAAAGCGGGUGAAAAGCCCGCUCGCCGGAAGACCAAGGGUUCCUGUCCAACGUUAAUCGGGGCAGGGUGAGUCGACCCCUAAGGCGAGGCCGAAAGGCGUAGUCGAUGGGAAACAGGUUAAUAUUCCUGUACUUGGUGUUACUGCGAAGGGGGGACGGAGAAGGCUAUGUUGGCCGGGCGACGGUUGUCCCGGUUUAAGCGUGUAGGCUGGUUUUCCAGGCAAAUCCGGAAAAUCAAGGCUGAGGCGUGAUGACGAGGCACUACGGUGCUGAAGCAACAAAUGCCCUGCUUCCAGGAAAAGCCUCUAAGCAUCAGGUAACAUCAAAUCGUACCCCAAACCGACACAGGUGGUCAGGUAGAGAAUACCAAGGCGCUUGAGAGAACUCGGGUGAAGGAACUAGGCAAAAUGGUGCCGUAACUUCGGGAGAAGGCACGCUGAUAUGUAGGUGAAGUCCCUCGCGGAUGGAGCUGAAAUCAGUCGAAGAUACCAGCUGGCUGCAACUGUUUAUUAAAAACACAGCACUGUGCAAACACGAAAGUGGACGUAUACGGUGUGACGCCUGCCCGG
rnacentral:rRNA from 1 species